AUUGAACGCUGGCGGCAUGCUUUACACAUGCAAGUCGAGCGGCAGCGCGGGGGCAACCCUGGCGGCGAGCGGCGAACGGGUGAGUAAUGCAUCGGAACGUAUCCUCGAGUGGGGGAUAACCCAGCGAAAGUUGGGCUAAUACCGCAUGAGCUCUGAGGAGGAAAGCGGGGGACCUGCGAGGGCCUCGCGCUGGAGGAGCGGCCGAUGUCCGAUUAGCUAGUUGGUGGGGUAAAGGCUUACCAAGGCGACGAUCGGUAGCUGGUCUGAGAGGAUGAUCAGCCACACUGGGACUGAGACACGGCCCAGACUCCUACGGGAGGCAGCAGUGGGGAAUUUUGGACAAUGGGGGCAACCCUGAUCCAGCCGUGCCGCGUGAGUGAAGAAGGCCUUCGGGUUGUAAAGCUCUUUCGGACGGAACGAAAUGGGCGGGACUAAUACUCCUGUCUGAUGACGGUACCGGAAGAAGAAGCACCGGCUAACUACGUG
rnacentral:rRNA from 1 species